rnacentral:misc_RNA from 1 species
AACGCACAUUGCGCCCGCCAGCAUUCUGGCGGGCAUGCCUGUUCGAGCGUCAUUUCAACCCUCAAGCCCCCGCGGUUUGGUGUUGGCGGCCGGCUAGCUCGUCUAGCCGCCGCCGAAAUGCAGGGGCGGUCGCCUCGCGGUAACCAUUACGCAGUAGUAACAUCUCGUAACUGGGACGCGGAGCUGCCACGCCUAACCCCAACAUAUAUCAAGAGUUGACCUCGGAUCAGGUAGGGAUACCCGCUGAACUUAA